UACAGAGGGUGCAAGCGUUGUUCGGAAUUAUUGGGCGUAAAGCGCGUGUAGGCGGCUUAGCAAGUCGGGCGUGAAAUCCCUCGGCUUAACCGAGGAACUGCCCUCCAAACUGCUUGGCUUGAGACCGGGAGAGGUGAGUGGAAUUCCCAGUGUAGCGGUGAAAUGCGUAGAGAUCGGGAAGAACAUCAGUGGCGAAGGCGGCCUGCUGGGCUGUUGCUGACGCUGAGGCGCGAAGCGCGGUGG
rnacentral:rRNA from 1 species